CGACGGAUUUGCGAUGGAUCGGGAAACGGAAGGUGACGUUGGAUUCCUGGUUCCACUACCGCCAUUUCUACUAGAGCAGAUUUGCCGUGGAAGCGAUUUAGGCACUAUUCUUGGGGGUCCGAGUGAGUGCCGCAGGCAUCUUUUCGGGAUCUCUAUUGGCGUAGUGCAAGAAAUCAAGUUCUUCUGGAGAUCAGGUUUGAAGGCCUAGGCUGGGACUGUUUUUGUUGGUUUCUCUUUGGGGUAUUGUGAGAUACUGAUAUAUGUAUAGAUAUAUUUGUACGAGAUUAAGUUUUAAAUACUG